rnacentral:rRNA from 1 species
CUUCGGACUGACUUGAGUGGAGCACGCGACCCGAUUGAGUAGUAGUCAAGCAAUGGAGAGACGCAGGAAGGUAGCCUCCGCGUGGCGAUGGUAGUCCACGUCCAAGGGUGUAGGGAGUGAGAUAGGCAAAUCCGUCUCACACAUAUCCUGAGACCUGAUAGUGACCGCGAAUGCGGGAAGCAGGGUGAUCCUAUGCUGCCUAGAAAAUCUUCUAGCGAGGUUCUAGCCGCCCGUACCCCAAACCGACUCAGGUGGUUAGGUAGAGAAUACCAAGGCGAUCGAGUGAAUCGUGGUUAAGGAAUUCGGCAAAAUACCCCCGUAACUUCGGGAGAAGGGGGGCCUGGACCCUGAAGUCACUUGCUGACUAGGGGAAGAGGCCGCAGAGACCAGGGAGAAGCGACUGUUUACUAAAAACACAGGUCCGUGCGAAGUCGCAAGACGAUGUAUACGGACUGACGCCUGCCCGGUGCUGGAAGGUUAAGAGGACGGGUUAGGUCGCAAGAUCGAAGCUCAGAAUUUAAGCCCCAGUAAACGGCGGUGGUAACUAUAACCAUCCUAAGGUAGCGAAAUUCCUUGUCGGGUAAGUUCCGACCUGCACGAAUGGCGUAACGACUUCUCCACUGUCUCAACCACGAACUCGGCGAAAUUGCAUUACGAGUAAAGAUGCUCGUUACGCGCAGCAGGACGGAAAGACCCCGGGACCUUCACUAUAGCUUGAUAUUGGUGUUCGGGACGGCUUGUGUAGGAUAGGUGGGAGACUGUGAAGCCGGCACGCCAGUGUCGGUGGAGUCAACGUUGAAAUACCACUCUGGUCGUUCUGGAUAUCUAACCUCGGUCCGUGAUCCGGAUCAGGGACAGUGUCUGGUGGGUAGUUUAACUGGGGCGGUUGCCUCCUAAAAGGUAACGGAGGCGCUCAAAGGUUCCCUCAGCCUGGUUGGCAAUCAGGUUUUGAGUGUAAGUGCACAAGGGAGCUUGACUGUGAGACAGACAUGUCGAGCAGGGACGAAAGUCGGAACUAGUGACCCGGCGGUGGCUUGUGGAAGCGCCGUCGCUCAACGGAUAAAAGGUACCCCGGGGAUAACAGGCUGAUCUUGCCCAAGAGUCCAUAUCGACGGCAUGGUUUGGCACCUCGAUGUCGGCUCGUCGCAUCCUGGGGGUGGAGUCGCUCCCAAGGGUUGGGCUGUUCGCCCAUUAAAGCGGUACGCGAGCUGGGUUUAGAACGUCGUGAGACAGUUCGGUCCCUAUCCGCUGUGCGCGUAGGAAACUUGAGAAGGGCUGACCCUAGUACGAGAGGACCGGGUUGGACGAACCUCUGGUGUGUCAGUUGUCCUGCCAAGGGCACCGCUGAUUAGCUACGUUCGGAAGUGAUAACCGCUGAAAGCAUCUAAGCGGGAAGCACUCUUCAAGAUGAGGUUUCCAUGGGGCUUGCCCCGAGAGGCUCCCGGCUAGACUACCGGGUUGAUAGGCCAGACGUGGAAGUGCAGUAAUGCAUGUAGCUGACUGGUACUAAUAAGCCGACAACUUC